rnacentral:rRNA from 1 species
UACGUAGGGGGCAAGCGUUGUUCGGAAUUACUGGGCGUAAAGGGCGCGUAGGCGGCACAGCAAGUCGGGAGUGAAAGCCCGGGGCUCAACCCCGGAAUGGCUUUCGAAACUGCUGAGCUAGAGUACAGAAGGGGCAACCGGAAUUCCCAGUGUAGCGGUGAAAUGCGUAGAUAUUGGGAAGAACACCUGAGGCGAAGGCGGGUUGCUGGGCUGAUACUGACGCUGAGGCGCGAAAGCCAGGGGAGCAAACUGG